CACAUGUCACGUAGUUUGACUCCUGGCUCAGAACGAACGCUGGCGGCAUGCCUAACACAUGCAAGUCGAACGAGACCUUCGGGUCUAGUGGCGCACGGGUGCGUAACACGUGGGAAUUUGCCUCGGGGUAUGGAAUAACUCAGGGGAACUUGAGCUAAUACCAUAUAAUGUCUUCGGACCAAAGAUUUAUCGCCCUGAGAUAAGCCCGCGUAGGAUUAGCUAGUUGGUGGGGUAAAGGCUCACCAAGGCGACGAUCCUUAGCUGGUCUGAGAGGAUGAUCAGCCACACUGGGACUGAGACACGGCCCAGACUCCUACGGGAGGCAGCAGUGGGGAAUAUUGGACAAUGGGCGAAAGCCUGAUCCAGCAAUGCCGCGUGAGUGAUGAAGGCCUUCGGGUUGUAAAGCUCUUUUACUCGGGACGAUAAUGACGGUACCGAGAGAAUAAGCCCCGGCUAACUCCGUG
rnacentral:rRNA from 1 species